GCCUGCAGUUAGACUGCCUUAUUCUGUGAUCCUAUUCGAUUUCACUAACUAAGCAGGGUUAGUUCACGUCAGUGUUUGGAUGGAAGACUUCCAAAGAAAAUACCUGAUGCUGCAUAAA
ensembl:rRNA 5S_rRNA 5S ribosomal RNA